CCUACGGGAGGCAGCAGUGGGGAAUAUUGGACAAUGGGGGGAACCCUGAUCCAGCGACGCCGCGUGAGUGAAGAAGUAUUUCGGUAUGUAAAGCUCUAUCAGCAGGGAAGAAAAUGACGGUACCUGACUAAGAAGCCCCGGCUAACUACGUGCCAGCAGCCGCGGUAAUACGUAGGGGGCAAGCGUUAUCCGGAUUUACUGGGUGUAAAGGGGGCGUAGACGGUGGAGCAAGUCUGAUGUGAAAGGUCGGGGCCCAACCCCGGGACUGCAUGGGAAACUGUUGAACUGGAGUACAGGAGGGGUAAGCGGAAUUCCUAGUGUAGCGGUGAAAUGCGUAGAUAUUAGGAGGAACACCAGUGGCGAAGGCGGCUUACUGGACAUUAACUGACGCUGAGGCACGAAGGCCAGGGGAGCGAAAGGGAUUAGAUACCCCAGUAGUC
rnacentral:rRNA from 1 species